rnacentral:rRNA from 1 species
UACGAAGGGGGCUAGCGUUGUUCGGAAUUACUGGGCGUAAAGCGCACGUAGGCGGAUAUUUAAGUCAGGGGUGAAAUCCCGGAGCUCAACUCCAGAACUGCCUCGAUACUGGGAGCUCGAAGUCCGGGAGAGGUGAGUGGAACUGCGAGUGUAGAGGUGAAAUUCGUAGAAUAUUCGCAAGAACACCAGUGGCGAAGGCG